rnacentral:rRNA from 1 species
GAUCCUGGCUCAGAAUCAACGCUGGCGGCGUGCCUAACACAUGCAAGUCGAACGCGAAAGUGGAGCAAUCCAUGAGUAGAGUGGCAAACGGGUGAGUAACGCGUGGGCGACCUGCCUUCGAGUGGGGGAUAACAUUCCGAAAGGGAUGCUAAUACCGCAUAACAUCCUUCGUUUAGAUACGAGGCGAUCAAAGCUGGGAGCAAUCCUGGCGCUUAAAGAGGGGCCCGCGUCCGAUUAGCUAGUUGGUGGGGUAACGGCCUACCAAGGCUUCGAUCGGUAUCCGGCCUGAGAGGGCGGACGGACACACUGGAACUGAGACACGGUCCAGACUCCUACGGGAGGCAGCAGUGGGGAAUUGUUCGCAAUGGGCGCAAGCCUGACGACGCAACGCCGCGUGGAGGAUGAAGACCUUCGGGUCGUAAACUCCUUUCGACCGAGAAGAAUGGCUCCCGACCUAAUACGUCGGGAGCAUGACGGUAUCGAGGGAAGAAGCCCCGGCUAACUCUGUGCCAGCAGCCGCGGUAAUACAGGGGGGGCAAGCGUUGUUCGGAAUUACUGGGCGUAAAGGGUUCGUAGGUGGCCAACUAAGUCAGACGUGAAAUCCCUCAGCUUAACUGGGGAACUGCGUCUGAUACUGGAUGGCUUGAGUGCAGGAGAGGAAUGCGGAAUUCCAGGUGUAGCGGUGAAAUG